UUAUCGAUUUGGUUAUUGUCCACAUAUUUCUUCAUUCGGGUUAUAUAGAAGCUUCAUAAUGUGCAAACUACAGAUUUUUGAGGAAUGGACAGUCCCUUGUUUGAUUUUUCUAGAAUUAUAACUUCUAUGAGAAACAUAAGCUAGGAGAAGGUGGUUUUUACCCUGUCUUCAAGGGUGUCCUACAAGACGGAACCAAAGUUGCUUCCAAACGGCUCUCUAAUACAUCUAAUCAAGGAACGGAUGAAUUUACAAAUGAAAUUCUUCUAAUCACGAGGUUUUAACACAAGAAUCUGGCCAGGCUAUUGGGAUUUUGUGUAGAGGGAGCUGAAAGGCUGAUCAUCUAUGAACUUAGGUCUUCUGGCGGCUUAGAUUCAUGGCUUUAUGAUCCACUAAACAGUGCACAGAUGACAUAGCCGGAGAAAACGACUUGACAUCAUCAAUGGGAUUGCUCAUGGAGUCCUUUAUCUGUACAAGGAUUCCCGACUGACAAUCAGAUACCGAUACUUAAAGCCUAGCAAAAACUGUUGGAUUCAAAUUUCAGACCUGAAUCCUAAGAUUUCAGACUUUGGAAAUGCCAGAAUCUAUGGAGCUGAAACUGAAGCAAGCACUGUCACUAUAAUUUGGUACAUAGUAUGUUCUUUUACCUGCUUAUUGAUUCUGCAACCAUGUCCUUUCCCUUUCGGUUUUCUUGAAUAGAUGACUAAUGCUACAAAAGAGGAGAUGGCAUCAUACUUGAAGCGUGGGUCCAUUGCUGGUGCUACUGGAAGCACUAAUACGAAUAGCCAGUCAAGGUACUUGCACACUAAUUUAAUUCCAAACCUUAAAGUUUAGUAAUUUUCAAACAUAUCCUGCUCGUUCCUGUCCACCUACAUUCUCCUCUGCCUCAAAAUGUUUUGCCUACCUUUGAAGUUUGUGAGUCACAACAGGGAAAUAUUUGGAGCGGAGGGAUUAUUAAUAUUGUGGUUGUUUGCCUUACUUUUUCUAGAGAAGUCAGCAAAAGCCUUGCUGAGAUGUUAUGGUUUCUUAUUAGAUUAAAAUAUUAUUUUUAGGUGAACCGAAGUUCUGUAAAGUUGGAUAUUUACAGGAAGUUCUCAAAUGCACUGGUUGUUUCAGUGAUUGCUUUAGUUGCAUGGAUAGUAUGCGAGUUUGGCCAACAAGCAUCGGGCGAAGUUUGAGUUAGUAACUCAUUUUUAUUGGUGUAUUUCAAGGCUACAUAUCCUUUUAAUGAGCGGUAGCAGAGUGCUUAGGUUAUCACUUCCUUUUGGGACAUUCUGGCAUUUGCAGUGCUAUGUAUAAUUUUAUAUCUAUGGACUCCAUCUCUUAGCUCUCAAAGAGCACUUUUUGGUUUCCAAAGUGAAAAAGGAUUGUUGAAGAAUAUCAAAAAGGGAGCACUAAGUGGAUACAUAUACAAUGUGCUUGGCAAAAGAAUGACAUGGAUUCUGGAUAUUAUGUCAUGAGAUACAUGAAAGAGAUCAUCGACCAUAAGCAAAGUCGAAUACUUGAAGAUUACUUUCAUGAUUGCAAUGUUUCAAAUUAUGAUCAAGGACAAAUUGAUGAAGUCAGAGCUCAAUGGACGCGUCAUGUUCUUCUCGUGUGAAUAUUGUAGUGGAUUAAUUAUGUUUUUCGACUGGAAUUUCUCUAGAACGUUUUAAUUUUAUUUUAUUGGUUUGAAAUGAAAAGAAAUACUAUAUGACAAGGAUACUUCUUUCUUUUUUCUAGUGUGUUUUUAUUCUACUGUGUAUUUAGGGACAUAUGAUUUUAAGUUAUGCAUGAGACAUCGAGACGUUUAUUUGAUAUGAUAGAAAUGAAGUAGGAUCUUAUA